rfam:Eubacterium sp. 3_1_31 genomic scaffold supercont1.1, whole genome shotgun sequence.
AACCGCCGUAUACGGAACCGUACGUACGGUGGUGUGAGAGGGUGAUUUAUUUCACCCUACUCGAU